rnacentral:rRNA from 1 species
CCUACGGGAGGCAGCAGUAGGGAAUCUUCCGCAAUGGACGAAAGUCUGAACGGAGCAACGCCGCGUGAAGCGAUGAAGGCUUUGCGGGUNGUAAAGUUCUGUUGUGCAGGGAAGAACAAGUACC